rnacentral:rRNA from 1 species
AAAUUGAAGAGUUUGAUCAUGGCUCAGAUUGAACGCUGGCGGCAGGCCUAACACAUGCAAGUCGAGCGGUAGCACAGAGAGCUUGCUCUCGGGUGACGAGCGGCGGACGGGUGAGUAAUGUCUGGGAAACUGCCUGAUGGAGGGGGAUAACUACUGGAAACGGUAGCUAAUACCGCAUAAUGUCGCAAGACCAAAGUGGGGGACCUUCGGGCCUCAUGCCAUCAGAUGUGCCCAGAUGGGAUUAGCUAGUAGGUGGGGUAACGGCUCACCUAGGCGACGAUCCCUAGCUGGUCUGAGAGGAUGACCAGCCACACUGGAACUGAGACACGGUCCAGACUCCUACGGGAGGCAGCAGUGGGGAAUAUUGCACAAUGGGCGCAAGCCUGAUGCAGCCAUGCCGCGUGUGUGAAGAAGGCCUUCGGGUUGUAAAGCACUUUCAGCGGGGAGGAAGGCGAUAAGGUUAAUAACCUUGUCGAUUGACGUUACCCGCAGAAGAAGCACCGGCUAACUCCGUGCCAGCAGCCGCGGUAAUACGGAGGGUGCAAGCGUUAAUCGGAAUUACUGGGCGUAAAGCGCACGCAGGCGGUCUGUCAAGUCGGAUGUGAAAUCCCCGGGCUCAACCUGGGAACUGCAUUCGAAACUGGCAGGCUAGAGUCUUGUAGAGGGGGGUAGAAUUCCAGGUGUAGCGGUGAAAUGCGUAGAGAUCUGGAGGAAUACCGGUGGCGAAGGCGGCCCCCUGGACAAAGACUGACGCUCAGGUGCGAAAGCGUGGGGAGCAAACAGGAUUAGAUACCCUGGUAGUCCACGCCGUAAACGAUGUCGAUUUGGAGGUUGUGCCCUUGAGGCGUGGCUUCCGGAGCUAACGCGUUAAAUCGACCGCCUGGGGAGUACGGCCGCAAGGUUAAAACUCAAAUGAAUUGACGGGGGCCCGCACAAGCGGUGGAGCAUGUGGUUUAAUUCGAUGCAACGCGAAGAACCUUACCUGGUCUUGACAUCCACAGAACUUUCCAGAGAUGGAUUGGUGCCUUCGGGAACUGUGAGACAGGUGCUGCAUGGCUGUCGUCAGCUCGUGUUGUGAAAUGUUGGGUUAAGUCCCGCAACGAGCGCAACCC